AUUCGUUGGAUGCAUGUGAGGCAUUGGAUUGAUUUCGGUCAAUCCGAGCCCCACAGUCAUCCGGGGUUCAU
rnacentral:pre_miRNA from 1 species